rnacentral:rRNA from 1 species
GACGAACCGUGCAAACGUUGUUCGGAAUCACUGGGCUUAAAGGGCGCGUAGGCGGUCGGGCAAGUCCGGGGUGAAAUCCUGCAGCUCAACUGUAGAAGUGCCUUGGAUACUGCCCGGCUCGAGGGAGGUAGGGGUCUGUGGAACUUCUGGUGGAGCGGUGAAAUGCGUUGAUAUCAGAAGGAACGCCGGUGGCGAAAGCGACAGACUGGACCUUUUCUAACGCUGAGGCGCGAAAGCUAGGGGAGCAAACGGG